GUCUUAUAUAAAAGGAUGGUUUCGGGUGUACAGUUAUGAUGUGUGACUGAAAUAGAAGCUCAAGUAGUGAUGGAAGAAAUGCACAAAGGAGUAUGCGGGCUCAUAUGAACGACAUAGUGUUUACUAGGAAGAUCAUGUGUCAAGAAUAUUAUUGGUUAACAAUGCAAAAGGAUUGCAUAACAUUAACGAGGAACUGCCAUGAG
rnacentral:lncRNA from 1 species